UUGAUUAAAGGAUGCACAUUGCAUGAAUUCUACUCAUAAGAUAUUUGCAAUUUUAGAGAUACAGGAUCUUAUCAGAAUGAUUCUAUUGGAAUGAACAAAUUAUCAGUUUUCCUCGUGUUUCCAAUUUUGAACAUUUUCGAAAAUCUAGUUGAUAAAGAAAGUAUUUAAAUGAUUUGUUUUUUAAGGACAAAAUCAUUUUGUGGCGAUUCAGCUUCAGCAUAUAUAGAAGAUUAAUUCAGAUUAACAUUCACCGUGAUGCGUCGCUUGCAAUUUGUUUUGACUAUUCUGUCGGCUAUUAUUUCCUUUCAACGCCUUGUCACCUGCGCCAUUUUGACAGAAGAACGAAGUAAUUGGACUGAAAAAUGUACGAAAGAUCUGUACGAUGGGAGAAACCAGUGUUUGCAGCUGAAUUUCAAAUUAAAGCAUGAGUGCUUUCGACGCAUUUUCACCACAUUGAAGAAAUGCCUUCAAAAGAACAGUCAUCUUCAUCGCAAAGAGAAAGGCAAUUUUAGAAGAAGCUGCGCUGGAGAUUGUUGGGGACAGUUCUACCAAUGCGGGACCCUAAUAAAAUCAACGUUGGAUCAAUGGACAUGCAUAAGGGGUCGGGAAGUCUGUAUGCAUAUGUGUCGAAAAUAAGUCUAUUUUGACAAACAUACUGUGGACUUACCAUUAAAAUUGAGAAUAACAAGCAAGCUUUAACAAAA